rnacentral:misc_RNA from 1 species
GAUGAAGAACGCAGCGAAAUGCGAUAAGUAAUGCGAAUUGCAGAAUUUCCGUGAGUCAUCGAAUCUUGAACGCACAUUGCGCCCGCCAGUAUUCUGGCGGGCAUGCCUGUUCGAGCGUCAUUUCAACCAUCAAGCCCCCGGCUUGUGUUGGGGACCUGCGGCUGCCGCAGGCCCUGAAAACCAGUGGCGGGCUCGCUAGUCACUCCGAGCGUAGUAAUACAUCUCGCUCAGGGCGUGCUGCGGGUUCCGGCCGUUAAAAAGCCUUAUUUACCCAAGGUUGACCUCGGAUCAGGUAGGAAGACCCGCUGAACUUAAGCAUAUCAAUAAGCGGAGGA